GAAUGCCACGGUGAAUACGUUCCCGGGCCUUGUACACACCGCCCGUCACACCAUGGGAGUGGGUUGCAAAAGAAGUAGGUAGCUUAACCUUCGGGAGGGCGCUUACCACUUUGUGAUUCAUGACUGGGGUGAAGUCGUAACAAGGUAACCGUAGGGG
rnacentral:rRNA from 1 species